CAGUACGGUCGGAAAUCGUACGUAGAGUGUAAAGGCAAAAGAGAGCUUGAUUGCAAGACAUACAGGUCGAGCAAGGAUGAAAAUCGGACUUAGUGAUCCGGUGGUUCUGCGUGGAAGGGCCAUCGCUCAACGGAUAAAAGCUACCCUGGGGAUAACAGGCUUAUCUCCCCCAAGAGUCCACAUCGACGGGGAGGUUUGGCACCUCGAUGUCGGCUCAUCACAUCCUGGGGCUGUAGUAGGUCCCAAGGGUUGGGCUGUUCGCCCAUUAAAGUGGUACGCGAGCUGGGUUCAGAACGUCGUGAGACAGUUCGGUCCCUAUCCGUCGCAGGCGUAGGAAAUUUGAGAAGACCUGUCCUUAGUACGAGAGGACCGGGAUGGACGUACCUCUGGUGUACCAGUUGUCCUGCCAAGGGCAUGGCUGGGUAGCUAUGUACGGAAUGGAUAAGCGCUGAAAGCAUCUAAGCGCGAAGCCAACUUCAAGAUAAGAUUUCCCACCGCAAGGGUAAGACCCCAGAAAGACUAUCUGGUUGAUAGGUCGAAGGUGUAAGUGCAGUAAUGUAUUUAGCUUAUCGAUACUAAUAGGUCGAGGACUUGACCAAU
rnacentral:rRNA from 1 species